GAUAAACGCUGGCGGCGUGCAUGAGACAUGCAAGUCGAACGAAGGAUCGGGCUUGCUCGAUCCUUAGUGGCGGACGGCUGAGUAACGCGUAGGUGACCUACCCCGAAGUGGGGAAUAACUGCCCGAAAGGGUGGCUAAUACCGCAUGUGGUCGCACGUUCAUUCGUGCGAGUAAAGCCGCAAGGCGCUUCGGGAGGGGCCUGCGUCCGAUUAGCUCGUUGGUGGGGUAAUGGCUUACCAAGGCGACGAUCGGUAGGUGGUCUGAGAGGACGAUCACCCAGACGGGGACUGAGACACGGCCCAGACUCCUACGGGAGGCAGCAGUCGGGAAUUUUGCUCAAUGGGGGAAACCCUGAAGCAGCAACGCCGCGUGAGGGAUGAAGGCCUUCGGGUUGUAAACCUCUUUUGUCAGGGACGAUGAUGACGGUACCUGGCGAAUAAGCCACGGCUAACUACGUG
rnacentral:rRNA from 1 species